GAAAUGCGAUAAGUAAUGUGAAUUGCAGAAUUCAGUGAAUCAUCGAAUCUUUGAACGCACCUUGCGCCCUUUGGUAUUCCGAAGGGCAUGCCUGUUUGAGUGUCAUUAAAUUAUCAACCUUGUUCGCUUUUACGAGCUUGAGCGAGGCUUGGAUGUGAGGGCUUGCUGGCUUCCUUCAGUGGAUGGUCUGCUCCCUUUAAAUGCAUUAGUGGGAUCUCUUGUGGACCGUCACUUGGUGUGAUAAUUAUCUAUGCCAGUCGACUUUGAAGCAAACUUUAUGGGAACCCGCUCAUAACCGUCUCGCAAGAGACAAUUUUUCUAUUGACUUGACCUCAAAUCAGGUAGGACUACCCGCUGAACUUAA
rnacentral:misc_RNA from 1 species